rnacentral:rRNA from 1 species
UACAGAGGGGGCAAGCGUUGUUCGGAAUUAUUGGGCGUAAAGGGCGCGUAGGCGGUUUGACAAGUCCGAUGUGAAAUCUAUGGGCUCAACCCAUAGCCUGCAUUAGAAACUGUCGGGCUUGAGUAUGGGAGAGGUGAGUGGAAUUUCCGGUGUAGCGGUGAAAUACGUAGAUAUCGGAAGGAACACCUGUGGCGAAAGCGGCUCACUGGACCAUAACUGACGCUGAGGCGCGAAAGCUAGGGGAGCAAACAGG